rnacentral:lncRNA from 1 species
UCAGACUUGGGGGAAAUUGGUAUUCAGACAGGACCAUCCGUGAGGGCUUGCUCUCAUUCACCAGCUUCAAGCAUUCAAGUUUGUGGAGUUCGCAAAGGCUUUUGGAAACCCCAGAUUGAUAGUAACUCAAAUCUCCAGAUAUCCGAAGAGUCUGAACACUAGGUAGUCUGCCCAAUAUAUCAGGAGUACAACUACUAGGGUUUAAAGCUGAUAUGAAAAUGAGAUUUUUCAGAGAGCUAGAAUAAUUUUUUGGAGGUGCGGGCAGAGUGAUAGAACCAAAGUUUAGAUGCAUGAGUUUUUGCAUCAUCCAAAUAUCCUCUGGUGACUGAUCUAUGUAGCUAGAUGGCAUUUCUAGUGUUUCAAGGUUUAAAAGGGUGCAUAGCAGUGAAGGAAGGCAUUUGAGCGAAGGGAUAUUCAAUUUCAAAUACUUCAAAAGAUAUAAAUUUUCUAAUCCGGGUGGAUAUUGGUCCAGGACUGCAGAACCCAUGUUCAAUACCCGAAGGUGUUUGAACUUUUUACAAAAAUUCUCGCAAUCUAUCAGAGCGAGAUGAUCGCUUGCCGAACUGUGAUUCAGAAAAGAUUGGAGAUACAUGUCAGAAUGUUCUAAAGAUAAAAACCCAGUCAGAUCUUCGGCAAUGACGCACCGUUUAACAUUUGCCACUCGCUCCUCUUCCCUGUCAUGCACCAAGACAAAUCCGGCCUUCUCUGCCACAAAAUACAAUGAAGUAUAUACAAAACUUGGAACAUAACACGCUUUAAUUGUGGCUCCGGCGCUUCUCUUACUCACUUGAAUGAAGCCGCGAUGGAUUAGUUCUUUCAAGUAAUGUUCGGCAGUUUCUUCACCGUUGUAUGGUAUGAAACCUUCAGCUACCCACAACUGAUAUAAUUGCUCCGUAGAUAUCUCAAUACUUGGAAGGAAGACACACAAAUAGAUGAAGCAGACUUUCAAGUAAAAAGGUAACUCCAUCACAGAAAAAAUUUGUCUCCAAACUGUCGGAAUCGCUUCGCCUUGAAGAUAAUUUUCUAAUGGCAUACUUCCAUAGUGUAGGAUGAAAAAUUGCCACGCUUCAUGCUUUAAUCUGAUCAAUGGUCCUCCAAAGAGCACUGAAUCACGCCGAAUCUUCUCUCCGUUUUCCAUUUCCAACGACGCAAGGAGCUGUGGAUCACUGACCAACAUCAAUACUCUGCUUCCAUUCUGAUUAUCAGGAAGAACUUCUUCAAGAUCACUCCAUAUCUCACUGUCAUCGAAGACAUCAUCAAGCACAAUAAAGUACUUCCUGUUUGUUAGGUAAUCUCGAAGAAUAGAUUUCUUCAAUUGAUAAUCUUCCCCGAUAAUUACACUAACCCGAGAUGGAGGCAUCACCGACUUGAUUAUGUCAUCCAAUAUCUUGCCAAAAACGUAGGUUAUAGAAACCCUGACCCAAGCAAGACAGUCAAAAUAGAACUUGACGUGGUUAUUAUUGUAAGUAUCUGCAGCAAAAACAGUCUUGUCGAAGCCACUGCUGUCGAGAAUUGCAACCACUGCAAGCCCAGAUGGUCCCUCAAUCAAUAGAUCAAACAACUCCUCCCUGCCCCUUUCAAAUUCAUUGAUAUCAAGCCGAGGUUGUCCCUCACUCAAUAGGCGAAUGAUUUCGUUACUUUUUUCACUGAUAUCAAAACCAUUGUCGCCGGGUGGAAGUUGUUGCAUCCGAUUUCUAAUAUCAAUGAUUUUAGUGUGGAGUCCAACAAGAAGAGCCAUAAUGAUGUUGAUGAUUUCGUUACUUUCACUUUCGUUUUCACUGUUUUGCUGCUGCAUGAUGUUGAUGAAGAAUGUGUCAAUGACUUCCUCAGAGUCACGGACAAAGUUAUUGAUGUCCUUCAGAAUUUCAAAAAUAUCUGCUGUUUCAACGUCUUCUUCAUCGCUUUCUUCUAAGUCCAACAGUUGCAAAAAAGGCAAAGAUAUUUUGGAGUCAUCGAAUUCUUCUCUAAUGAGUUGAAACAAAUGCCGAGCCAUGUCAGCUUCAUAAUUUCCCAGCAGAGUAGUAGCAAUAAUUUCGGACUCCGUAAGAAGGUUUUGAAAAAGUGGAGUUAAAUUUGUUGAAUCUGGCAGCGGCAACGUGCCUUCUUCACCUGCUAACACCCUUUUCAACCUCUCACAAAACAGUCGGAGGUGGAAUUCCAGCAUAUCUCCUUCUCUCUGUAGCAGCCAGAGGUAUUGUUUUUUGCUCCAAGAAAUAUUAAAAGGAUUGGUUCUAUCCUCAAGUGGUUACUGGUGUAAAAUUAAACGCCAUGGGAGAAUUUGAAAGGAAGAUGCCAAGGAACUGGCGAAGUGGCUAAAUUCCACAAAUACGGCAUUAUUGCUCAUUUUUAACUCAAAAAAUUGAUACGCGUUCAUUUAGAGAAAAGUCCAAGACGCGUGCUUUUUGAAAAGAACAGGUAUCCCAAUCGGUAUCCAACCUUUAUCUUAUUUAAUUACUACCAUGACAUAAUUGAUGGUGCUUAAAUCAAUUGUUUCUUUUUUAAUUUAAAGAAUUUUUCAUUAAAAAAUAUUUUAAUAUCAAAUUGCCUUCAGUGGCGUAACAACUGCCUCAAGCCCAGUAACAGGACUAAUUAAAAAUUUUACAAUUUUGGGGCAUGGAAAUAGUAGUAUUAAACAUUAGAAAGGUGAGGUUGUUCUGUUAAAGAAUUGAUAUUGACAUAAUUUUAUUUUGGUUUUCGUGGAAAAAAAAAAUUUGUUGACAAACAAGAAAAUAUUUUUAUAUUUUAAAAUUUAUUAUGCAUAUUUUAUCAUAUUAAAGUAGUUUUAAUAGUAAAUAGAAACAUAAUAUUACGAUAAAUAAAUUAAAAUUUAACUUAUUUUGAAUAUUAUAAAAAAUAAUUUUAAUAUUAUUAAUAGGAAGACAUUGUAUUAAUUUAAAAAUUUUUUAACCCAAAGGUUUAUUUAAAAUCUUUAUUAUAAAUACAAAUAUAAAAUUAAAUAUCAUAAUUUAAAAUUUUUAAUAUUAUUUUAAGUAUGAAAAAUAUUUUAAUAUUAUUAGUCUAGAUCAUAUUACUUAUAUAAUAUUUGUAUUAUUAAAAAUGCUUUAAAAAAGACCUUGUUGUUACUUUUUAAAAAAUUGAGGGCCUGCUUGAUAAUUUUUUCAAAAAGAAAAUGCUUGGUAUAUAGGAGGGGUAGAGAAACAGGACUCCCAAAAUCUCUCACCCUUUUGUAAUUUAAAAAGAAUUAAAAUAUCAAUAAAAAAUAAUAAAGAAAAUAGAAUUUUAUCUGCUCCUUACUCCAUUUUUGCAACUCUCUCACCAUCUCUGUCGAGCAGCCCUCUCUCUCAUUGUCUCUCACUAUUUCAGGAUCUCUCUCUCACUCACACAAUCCUUUCCACGAUUUGAAAUUCUUUGGCCUUCUGCAACUCUUACAAGAAAUUAACGCUUUGGUUCUCCCAAGGGUAGAUUGGUUUUAUUGGGAAGCUAUUAAUUAGAAGGAGGAAAAAGGACUAUAUUUAGAAUAUGAUUUGUUGGAGAAUCUCAAAGUUAAUCAAUUUUCAAGCCACACUUUCAAUAGCCAAUUGAUUUAGUAACCAUUAAUUACUUUAAUUUCCAUAAAUUGUAAUGACAGUGCAAAUGCAUCUGGUUGUGAUAGCUAAGGGUUAGCUUGAAGAAUUAAAUUUCAUAAGAUAUUACUGGAAAAUGCUUUGCAGCUAACGUGCUGCUUCCUUUGCUAGACUACAAUUUCAAAAUUCUCACGAGUUUUCCAUUGUUGUCACAAACCGAGAAAUUAUAAAAUACAUGGCCUGGUUCUUUGGCAAUGACCAUCUCAUCGUCGGCGGUCGUGUCGUCAUUGUCACUGGUCUUGCUCGACCGAGACAGUGAGAGAGAGGUUUGUUAGAUGGAGUUAGUGAGAGAGAGUUGUAAAGAUGGAAUGAUGAUAAAGGAUUCUAUUUUUUUUAUUGUUUUUUAUUAAUAUUUCAACAGGUCUUAGUAUAUAUAUAUAUGAUUGUAAAUAUCAGUUAUACUCAUGUAAUAUGAGUUGUAAUUUGAGCAAUAGUCUCAUGUUAUCAAAAAAAAAAAAUCAAAAAGCAAAGGUUGUUAUGUCGAAGAAUUGAUGUCAACAAAAUUUUAUUUUAGUUUUCGGAAAAAACAAAACAAAAAUAAAAUUUUUGUUGACAAGCAAGAAAAUGUUUUUUAUACUUUACAAUCUGCUAUACAUAUUUUAUCAUAUUAAAGUAAUUUUAAUAAUAUAUGGAAACAUAAUAUUAUAAUAAAUAAAUUAAAAUUACUUUGAAUUAUUGAAUAUUACAAAAAGAUAAUUUUAAUAUUAUUAAUAGGAAAACAUAUUUUAUUUGUAAAAUCUUUUUAAUACACAAAUUCAUUUAAAAUCUUUAUAAUAAAUACAAAUAUAAAUUAAAAAAUAUCAUAAUUUAAAUUUUUUAAUAGUAUUUAAAUAUUAAAAAUACUUUAAUAUUAUUAAUCUACUACAUCAAAUAUAUUAUUUAUAUUAUAUUCGUAUUGAUUAAAACGUUUUAAAGUCAAAUUUUUAAUUAGUGUAUUCAAAGGUACAAAAGAUUUUAGUAUUAUUUUUUAAAAAUUUCAGGAUAUGAAUGAUAAUUUUUUCAAAUUUUAAAGAUGUAAAAAUCUUUUUUUCUGAUAAUUUAUUUCACUUUUGAGAGAAUCCGAAAACGUUAAUUUAACAUUCUUUACCUUUGUGAAAAAAGUGAAAAUCAAGAACUAUUCAAUUUUGUUUUUAUUUGUAAUUCAAAAACUUUAUUCAUUUUCGAUGCUUUUCAAAAGAGAUUCCUUUAAAUCCUUUUGAUGUCUGCAGCUCCUGCUAUUCUCAUAAAUCUCCAUCCCACAUCUACACUAUCAAACUAGUUGAUGGAAAUUCUUAUAAAAAAAAAAAAAAAGUCGAUGGAAAUUGAUCAAUUGCUUUUUGAAAUGGACCCAUUGAGUCAUGUUCAUUUCUGGUCAUAUAAAUUUCUUUACCUUACAGUUUAUACGGUCUUGCUGUUAAUGAAUUCGCUGAGGCAUUAUUGAUCCAAUCUGAGUGAAGUAAUUGUGGGUGAAAAAUAAAUAAAGGAUAGCAGAACGUAGCUGAAGUGCUGAAGGGGCUAUUAAAGAAGAGUGUCACUCGAUCACAAUCACAUUGAUGCACAACUCACUCGUGGCAAAUUCCGACUAUACGUACUGCAAAUUCAGCCAAACCAUACAUGCAUGAACAAAACAUCUUCUCUAAACUAAAAAGCCCACAUCUCUAAAAUCAAUCUACAUAAUGUUGGAGAUGAGGGGUGAAUUGUUAACUCAGUAAAAAAAAAAAAACUCAUGCAUAAGAUUACUAAUAAUAUAAAUUAUAUAUUAAUCAUUAUGAAGAAUCAUAAAUUAGAAAAAUUAAUCAUUUUAUAAUUUAUUACACAAGUAAGAUAAAUCUUAUAAUAAGUUAUAACAUAAAAAAACGUUAUCAAUAAAUAAUCAUUUAAGAAGUCAUUUAACAAUAAAAUCGUUCUUUGAUCAGUUGGUCAUGUCACAUAGUAUCAUCUAUAUUUAUGGUGAUAAUAUUAUUACUUGGUAUUAUCAAAAAACAUGAUUUAACAUUUUAGAGGAAAUUCUUGCCUUUUAAAAAAAACAUGUAUGCAACAGCUACCCAUGCUUGAUCUUACAAAUGAACAAAUAAUUUUUCUCAAUGAAAAGAAUUUUUUUUUUAAAUUGAUUUAAUUGCACCAAUUAUGAUGAUUUUUUGCCAAAAAAUUAUUUUUUGGAAAACAUAGUGAGAGAAAAUUAGUGACGAUUAUUUGUUUAGAUUGUAUAAAUAGCUCAAACAUAAUCCCUUAAUAACCNNNNNNNNNNNNNNNNNNNNNNNNNNNNNNNNNNNNNNNNNNNNNNNNNNNNNNNNNNNNNNNNNNNNNNNNNNNNNNNNNNNNNNNNNNNNNNNNNNNNAGGGAGAUCGUCGGGGACAAUCUGAACGGCCGACGCCGAUGAAAUGGAAGGGUUUACCAGAGGAGUGGAUGCGAAGAGUGCAGGGACGGCCGCAGAGAGAGAGCGGCGGAGAGCGGCGACGGACGGUAGUCGGUAUGGGCCAUUGCUUGCGCGUCGGUAAUUGUCUCGAGUGAGAGAGUGAAGGGUUUUGUUUAGGGUUUUGGGAAAUGAAAAAUGCAAAUGUUUGAUUUUGUUGCUAGAAACUUCUUCUGCCGCUGCCUUUUAUUUUCGCUAUAAUAAUAUUAAUAAUUUGUUAAUAAAAUAUUUUCUUAAAAAAGAUAAAUUUCUACGACAAAAUUUAUAUUAAAUCAAAUUGUAAAAAUGUCUAUUAGGGUUAAUUUCUCCUUAAUAUUAUUAUUAGUAGAAGUAGAUUUUCGAAUUAGUCUUGAUAUAUUUCAGAGUUGUAUUAUAAAUGUAUAUGUAUCUGGAUUGCAAUUGUAUUUUUAAAAAAUAUAAUUUUUUUAAUUAUUGCACAAUAAAUGUAGAAAGUGUCUAUAAAAUAAUAUUAUUAGAACUAUGAAAAGAUAUUAUUUUAGAGUAGUUAUUUAUUUAUUUUUGAAUAAAUAAUUUAUUAAUUUAUUGAUAAAUUAAUAUUUAUUAAUUUAAAGAGAGAUUUUUUUUUUGUGGGUUUUAAGAAGAGUUUUGUUGGUAUAUGUAUAAACUUAUAAAGAAAUACAAAAAAUGCUUCCUCAAGUCAAUAAUAUUUACUUUAAUUCAUAAUAAUAUAGUUUAAUCAAGAAACUUGUAAUUAUACUAUAUCUUUCUUUCUUUGUUCAGUUUGGUGGGACAUUGUGAUAAAUCAUUGGAUUAAAAUGCAUUUGUAAAUGAAAACUUGUUAAAACCUAAUUUAUUUGGGAAAAACAUAUUAUUUACUCUUUUUUUUUCCCGCUCUCUGACAAUUGAGGUAUGGGUCAAGCUUGAAAGUAUCUUAAAAUCAGACAACAAUUUAACGAUUUUUUGUUUUUAGAUAACUGCUGGUAUGCUCUACAAUGAUAAGUGAUAACCUAGGUGUUUGCAUUAAUUAUGAUUCAACAAUUUAAAAAAUGAAAACAUAUGGAAGACGGCCGCAAUUAAAUUUAUUGUAUGAAAAUAUUUCAAUGAAAUUUUAAAAAUUUAGUACUUGUUAUCUUAUCGAGAGUUUUUAAUUAUAUUACUACUUGAACUUGACUGCUUUUGUAUUGAAUUCCUAGCGUUGCCAUUGCUUCUACUCAAAAGCCAUUUAAGUUUGUGUAAGCUACCUGUAGUUUGAACAACAAUUUUCUAGAUGAAUUUUUUCCUACAUGCUUGUUCUCGUAUGACCCAAAAUCCUGCUACAUCAGUUGUAUUAGAAAUUAAUCAACUGGGUUACAAUUAUGCAUCCCCACCAAUAUUCAAGCAAUCUACAGAAACAUUUCUUGAGGAAAGAAACUCAUAUCGCCACUAGGCUUUUAAUGAGGCUCAUUUUUAUGAAUCUGGAUGGCAUUAGAUAUCUCUCCGAAUAUUGGUGGGAGUAUAUCGCUGAUCUCUGGGCUAUACUACAAAGUGUAUGUACGUUGACUCUCAAUAAAUACAAACGAUUCUCUGAUCUGAUUCAAAACAUCAGUACAUGCAUCAUUUUAAUGAGAAAGAAUAUUCUAAGAACGAAAUUGAAGGUGCAAUCAGCAGCUAAAAUGAAGCCAGAAAUGUACACGCAUGAGGAACUUUUCCUAGAAGAUUGAUAUUUCUUUAACUAGCAAACCAUAUAAGUCCAAAGCUAACCAAACCAUACCUGCAAGUCCGGGGCUUAAAUGGAGUACUUGUAAGCAUAAAACAUUAAUCAAAACACAGUAUAGACACACACACACACCCCUACAUACAUACCAGCAAAUUCGGAAUAGAAAAAGGAGUGCAACUAUUCAAGUUUGCAGACAAUAUUGCAACCAUGGCAUAUUAAAGCAAAUCCUUGAAAUCAGCUAAACAAAACAAUGCCCUGUCUCAUGAAUCGAUGCUCAAUUAAAAUUGCAAUUGAAAGUCCGGCUGGUGUUGUUUCCCUCCCCAGUUUUGCCUACAUAAGUAAACGGAAAUAAGAAUCAUAAAUGAAAAUCUACUUUGACAGUUCUUAUUAGAUAGAUAUAAAAAGAUCUUUCUUUGUUUCUCUGCUGUAAUUUGUAGACAUGUUCCUAUUGUGCAUAAUUUACAUUAUAGGCAAAUAUUCUUAUACCAUCAUAGGCAAAACAUGACACUAACAAUUGAAGGUUUUAUGACCUCCUUGAAGGUUUUACGAUAAACAUAAAUCUACUGAGAAAGUGGGAAAAAAAAGAAAAUGCAUAUAAAAAUAUGAGUUAUCAGAUAAGAUUGAAACUCACCCAAUUCAAUCCAUCAGAUUCCGCAAGGAUAUAACUGGAUGUCAUACCGCCACUCCAUAUCCUCGAAAGUCCGUAGUCCUUGUCUCAACUGUGUCUGGGGCCAGUGUAAGUCCAAUUUGCGCAAGCUCUUUAUGCACCACAGCUCUUCUGGAAGCUUUCUCAAGUAAGCACAUGGGUUGACAAUUAAGCUUUCAAGUUUCGGCAUUGCUCCAGCCCCCAUCGUCCACUCAUCUAGCCAAUACAUUGAUUUCAGGUGCAAAACCUUAAGUUCGGGAAAGCUACUCAAGCCAACACAAGCAAGCUUUCUUCCUAAAUACGAGUUCUGCUUCAGUUUCAGCACUCGAAGGAGUGGAAGAUUUUCCAGAAUUGGCAUGGGAUCCUGUUGUGAAUUUGGCUUUGUUACGACUAACCAAAUUCUCCCCAAGACACUAAUUUUGUAUCAAAUGGUUUGAGAAUUAACAGCACAGAUUAUGCAGUAACAAAUCACACGCAAGAACCAAAGCAUUAAAGAAACAAAGUGACACCAAGUAUAAGUGGUUCAGCACCAAGAUGUGGUGCCUACAUCCACUGGAAACAAAGCAACAGUCUUUCACUAUUUAGUUCACAAAACAAUACAAUAAUAGGAAUUUAUUUACAGAGAACAAGAACUUGUAAACCCCUUUCUCUCUCUAUCUUCUCUCUACUCUCUGUGUUUCCCAAUUCAUGUGUAGACGAUGACAGAGCCUGCACUUUUAACCUCUGUUUCUGGGUUGUUACAUUAACUACCCUUCCCGCCAAAACUAACCAAGAAGCUCCUCUCUCACGUGCUUGUCACAAGUUGGCAUAAGUGAGCUUGAAACGGCAAUCACAGAUGUCGUUCUUGAGCUAACGAGAUUUCAGCUUCACUACACGUGCAAACCACGUGUAUUACUUAAAGGUUGAAUGACCAAAGAGAGGAUGUCGGUUUUACUCUGAAGAACUCCUCAAGCGACAAGUCGGCUGAGACUAACUCCUCUAAACGACUUGUAGCACUUGAGUUUCGAGUUCACUGUUUAUCAAUCUCCACCUUGAACUCAGAACUCUAGCUACUCAUGUUUACUUCAUUCUCUUCCAUUUGCAGCUAAUCAGAAGCUGCAAAUCCCUACUAAGCUCAAACAGAAGUUGAGCUUGGCAGAUGGCAUAGCUUUAGUCAACAUAUCAGCUGGAUUUUGAUCAGUGUGAACCUUGAGCAUCUUCACAAUUCCCUUGGAAACUUCAAGUCUAACAAAAUGCAGCUUUACAUCGAUAUGUUUUGUUCUUUCGUGAUGGGUCUGGUUUUUACUCAAAUGUAUUGCACUCUGGCUAUCACAAUAUACUUCAACUGUUUCUUGUUUUGCUCCUAACUCAGAGACCAUUCCUUUUAACCAGAUGGCUUCCUUAAAAGCUUCUGCAGCUGCUGUAUAUUCGGCUUCAGUUGUGGACAAAGCUACCACACUUUGCAGUGUAGCUUUCCAAUUCACAGUGCAGCCUCCCAAAGUGAAUAUAAAACCUGUCUGAGACCUCAUUUUAUCAAGAUCUCCAGCGAAAUCUGAGUCAACAUACCCCACCAGCUUGUGCCCUUCCUGUUUUAACCCUCCAUAUAGCAGACCAAACUCCAUAGUGCCUUUCAGGUACCUCAUUAUCCAUUGGACUGCCCUCCAAUGUUCAUAACCUGGAUUUGCCAUGAAUCUACUCACUACACUCACAACAUGUGAGAUAUCAGGUCUAGUGAGAACCAUGGCAUACAUUAGAUUCCCAACUGCACUGGAGUAAGGUAUCCUUGCCAUUUUUCCUUGCUCUGCAUCAGUUUGUGGACACUGUGCAGCAGACAGCUUGAAGUGAUUUGCCAAAGGUGUUUGAACAGACUUAGAUUCAUGCAUCCCAAACCUAAGUAACACCUUUUUAACAUAGCCCUGUUGGGUUAGAAACAUAAGCUUCCUUCUCCUGUCUCUGAUAAUUUCCAUACCUAAGAUCUUCCUUGCAGCUCCAAGAUCUUUCAUAUCGAAUUCACUGCUCAAGAGGUCCUUUAAAUGACUGAUUUCAUUUAUGCUGUGACAUGCUAUAAGCAUGUCAUCCACAUACAGCAUAAGAUAAAUCAUCUUUCCAUCACCAAUGUCCUUAAAGUACACGCAACAAUCAUAAUUGCUUCUCUUAUAGGCAUGUUUUGUCAUGAAACUAUCAAACUUCAAGUACCAUUGCCUAGGAGACUGCUUUAAUCCAUAUAAAGAUUUCUUUAGUAAGCACACAUGAUCUUCCUUGCCAGACACCACAUACCCCUCAGGCUGCUCCAUUACAAUUUCUUCUUGUAAUUCACCAUGCAGAAAGGUUGUUUUAACAUCCAUCUGCUCUAGGUACAAGUCUUGAAUGGCAACUAAAGCUAAGAUGACUCUGAUGGAGGCAUGUUUCACAACUGGAGAGAAGAUUUCAUUGAAAUCAAUCCCCUCUCUUUGUGUGAAACCUCUUGCUACCAGCCUAGCCUUAAACCUACUAGGUUCAGCAUCAAAUAUCCCUUCCUUAAUUUUGAAGAUCCAUUUGCAGCUAACAGUCUUCCUUUUCUCUGGUCUAACUAUCAGUUUCCAAGUUCCAUUUUUCAUUAGUGAUUCAAUUUCCUCAUCCAUAGCCUUCUUCCAUUUCAGCUUAUCCCUGUUGUUUAUAGCUUCUUUAUAGGUUCUUGGCUCUUCUUCAUUUAUCUCUUGUGCAGCUGUUAAUGCAUAAGCUAUCAAAUAUGCUACUGCAUACCUCUUAGGUGGUCUUACAGCUCUCCUCUUUCUAUCCCUGACCAACUGAUAAGAGUUAUUUUCAUUCUCAGCUGGCUCUGACUCCUGAACACCAUCAGAUCCAUCAGCAACCCUUCCUGCAUCUUCUUCAGAUUCUGAUUCAGUCAUAUCUUGCUCAUGGGACUCCACCUGAAACUGAAUACUCCCAGGUUUUAUUUCUGAUCUAUACUCUUUGGAUUCAGUGGCUUUGGAAUUGUUCAAGAUUUCUGACUCAUUGAAAGUUACAUCCCUACUGAUAAUGCAUUUUGGUGGCUUCAGAUCAAUGCACCAUAGCCUAUAGCCUUUAACUCCAUCAGGGUAUCCCAAAAAUCUACACUUUAAGGCUCUUGGCUCCAAUUUGCCUUGUUUGACAUGUGCAUAAGCAACACAGCCAAAGAUUCUUAGUUUAGAGUAAUCAGCAACCCUUCCAGACCAUAGCUCGAUAGGUGUUUUGCAUUCUAUUGCUGUAGAUGGGCUUCUGUUUACCAAGUAGCAUGUUGUGUUUAAGGCCUCUGCCCAGAGUGACUUAGGCAGCUUUGAGUAUAGCAGCAUACACCUCACGUUGUCCAUUAAGGUUCUAUUCAUCCUCUCAGCAAGACCAUUUUGCUGAGGUGUGUGUAUGACUGUUUUGUGCCUCAUAAUCCCAUGUCUUUCACAGAAGUCCCCAAACUCUUUAUUGCAGAAUUCCAUUCCAUUAUCUAUUCUUAGAGCUUUUACUUUCAAACUUGUUUGUGUUUCUACCAGAAUUUUCCAUCUCUUGAACCUUUCCAAAACUUCAUCUUUGGUUUUGAGUACAUACACCCAAACCAUCCUUGAAUAGUCAUCUAUUAGGGAUAAGAAAUACCUACAGCCACCAAGGGAAUCUACCUGUGCAGGUCCCCACAGAUCAGAGUGUAUAUAUGCAAGCCUCUCUUUGGUAGAAUGAACUGCAGAUUCAAACUUGAGCCUGGAAGCCUUCCCUAGAAUACAGUCUUCACAGAACCCCAAAGAACUUAGCUUGUCACUUCCAAACACCCCCUUCUUUUGAAGCUCCUUCAGUCCUCUCUCCCUCAUGUGCCCCAACCUCAAGUGCCAUAGUUUUGCUUUAUCUUCACUCUUCUCAGUGACACUUGCCUCUCCAACAGUUGUAUGUCCAUUAAGCACAUACAAACCAUUUUGCUUGGUACCUUUCAUUAUGACUAUUGAGCCUCUGAUAACUUUUAAUGUCCCAUUUUCAGCCUUAAUGACACAUCCAGUUUGAUCAAGCAUGCCAAUAGAUAUUAGGUUCCUUUUGAGUUCAGGAACAUGCCUAACCUGAGUCAGUUCUCUAACCAUGCCAUCAUACAUCUUAAGGCUUACAGUCCCAAUCCCAACUACUUUACAAACUGAAUUAUUUCCCAUCAGCACCAUACCCCCAUCACAGGACUGAUAUGUAGUAAAGUAAUUUCUAUUUGGACUCAUAUGAAAAGUACAUCCAGAGUCUAGUACCCACUGACCUUGAGUUUUUUCUUUUGUGGCAAUGAGGACUUCAGCUGUCUCAAAACUGGUUUCUUCUGUGGCUAUUGCUGCAUUUCCAGAUUUUUCUUUUGAUUCCUUUUGUUUUGUUUUUCUCUCAGGGCAAUCCCUCUUGAAAUGCCCUUCUUUGUGGCAGUGAAAACACUUCAAGUGUUUUUGCUUUGACUUUGAUCUUCCUUGCUUCUUUCCUUUGUAUUCUCUUUUUUCAGAUCUUCCCCUUGCCAUCAGCCCUUCACUUGAUUCACUCUCUGAGUUAUCUUGUUUGUCUUUUAACUUCUUGGUACCAAGAGCAGAUUUAACCUCUUCCAAGGAGAGUGAUUGCCUUCCAUAUAACAAGGCAUCCACAAAAUGUUCAUACGAUUUUGGUAAAGAACUGAUUAACAGCAAAGCCUUGCUCUCAUCACUCAGUCCUUCAUCAAUUGUUUCCAGUUCAUCACAAACUUUAUUAAACUCAUCUAUGUGUUCAUCAAGUGAUGCUCCUUCAAUCAUCCUCAGUGAGAACAUCUUUUUCUUGAUGUAUAGCCUGUUUGCUAAAGACUUUGUCAUAUACAAUUGUUCCAGUUUUGCCCAGAGCCCAGCAACAGUCUUUUCUUUUGCAACUUCCCUUAUCACUGAGUCACCAAGACUGAGGAUGAUAGUGCUUCUUGCCUUUUUGUCAAUCUCAGCCAUCUGUUCUGGAGUUCUUGAAGAAGAAGCUUCUGCAUUUUCACUCUUGAUGACUGGAUCAAUGGCAUCUCCCAGACCUUGUGUGAUUAACAAUGCUUCCAUCUUGAUCCUCCACAUAUUGAAGUCAUUCUGACCCGUGAACUUCUCAAGAUCCACCUUGUUUGUCAUUUCUUGAACCUUGAUACAGAAAAGAGGGCUCUGAUACCAAUUUGUUGUGAAUUUGGCUUUGUUACGACUAACCAAAUUCUCCCCAAGACACUAAUUUUGUAUCAAAUGGUUUGAGAAUUAACAGCACAGAUUAUCCAGUAACAAAUCACAUGCAAGAACCAAAGCAUUAAAGAAACAAAGUGACACCAAGUAUAAGUGGUUCAGCACCAAGAUGUGGUGCCUACAUCCACUGGAAACAAAGCAACAGUCUUUCACUAUUUAGUUCACAAAACAAUACAAGAAUAAGAAUUGAUUACAGAGAACAAGAACUUGUAAACCCCUUUCUCUCUCUAUCUUCUCUCUACUCUCUGUGUUUCCCAAUUCAUGUGUAGACGAUGACAGAGCCUGCACUUUUAACCUCUGUUUCUGGGUUGUUACAUUAACUACCCUUCCCGCCAAAACUAACCAAGAAGCUCCUCUCUCACGUGCUUGUCACAAGUUGGCAUAAGUGAGCUUGAAACGGCAAUCACAGAUGUCGUUCUUGAGCUAACGAGAUUCCAGCUUCACCACACGUGCAAACCACGUGUAUUACUUAAAGGUUGAAUGACCAAAGAGAGGAUGUCGGUUUUACUCUGAAGAACUCCUCAAGCGACAAGUCGGCUGAGACUAACUCCUCUAAACGACUUGUAGCACUUGAGUUUCGAGUUCACUGUUUAUCAGAUCCUCCAUUAGCUCAGUAUUUGAUAAGCUCAGUUGGAUCAGACUUGGGGGAAAUUGGUAUUCAGACAGGACCAUCCGUGACGGCUUGCUCUCAUUCACCAGCUUCAAGCAUUCAAGUUUGUGGAGUUCGCAAAGGCUUUUGGAAACCCCAGAUUGAUAGUAACUCAAAUCUCCAGAUAUCCGAAGAGUCCGAACACUAGGUAGUCUGAACAAUAUAUCAGGAGUACAACUACUAGGGUUUAAAGCAGAUGUGAAAAUGAGAUUUUUCAGAGAGCUAGAAUAAUUUUUUGGAGGUGCGGGCAAAGUGAUAGAACCAAAGUUUAGAUGCAUGAGUUUUUGCAUCAUCCAAAUAUCCUCUGGUGACUGAUCUAUGUGGCUAGAUGGCAUUUCUAGUGUUUCAAGGUUUAAAAGGGUGCAUAGCAGUGAAGGAAGGCAUUUGAGCGAAGGGAUAUUCAAUUUCAAAUACUUCAAAAGAUAUAAAUUUUCUAAUCCGGGUGGAAAUUGGUCGAGAACUGCAGAACCGAAGUUCAAUACCCGAAGGUGUUUGAACCUUUUAAAAAAAUUCUCGCAAUCUUUCGGAUUAAGAUGAUUGCUUUUUGAACUGUGAUUCAGAAAAGAUUGGAGAUACAUGUAAGAAUAUUCUAAAGGAAAGAAGUCAAACUGAUUACCCAAAAUGAUGCACCGUUUAAAAUUUGCCGGCGGUUCCUCAUCCACGUCAUGCAUCCAGACAAAUCCCGUCGCCUGUGCCAACAAUAACAAUGAAGUAUAUACAAAACUUGGAACAUAACACGCUUUAAUUGUGCCGCCGGCGCUUCUCUUACUCACUUGAAUGAAGCCGCGAUGGAUUAAUUGUUUCAAGUAAUGUUCGGCAGUUUCUUCACUGUUGUAUGGUAUGAAACCUUCAGCUACCUACAACUGAUAUAAUUGCCUCGUGGAUAUCUCAAUACUUGGAGGGAAGACACACAAAUAGAUGUAGCAGACUUUCAAGUGAAAAGGUAACUCCAUCACAGAAAAAAUUUGUCUCUCAACUGUCAAGCCGAAUUUUCCUUGGGUCAGGGUUUCUAAUGGCAUACUUCCAUAGUGUAGGAUGAAAAAUUGCCAGGCUUCAUGCUUUAAUCUGAUCAAUGGUCCUCCAAUGAGCACCGAAUCAAGCCGAAUUUUCUCUCCAUUUUCCAUUUCCAACGACGUAAGGAGUGUUGGUUCAGUGACCAAUAUCAAUACUCUGCUUCCAUUCUGAUCAUCAGGAAGAAGUUCUACAACAUCACUCCACAUCUCACUGUAAUGGAAGACAUCAUCAAGCACAAUAAAGUACUUCUUGUUUGUUAGGUAAUCUCGAAGAAUAGAUUUCUUGAAUUGAUAAUCUUUACCGAUAAUUACUCUAACCCGAGAUGGAGGCAUCACAGAUUUGAUUAUGUCUUCCAAUAUCUUGCCAAAAUCGUAGAGUAGAGAAACCCUGACCCAAGCAAGACAGUCAAAAUAGAACUUGACAUAGUUAUUAUUGUAAGUAUCUGCAGCAAAAGCAGUCUUAUCGAAGCCACUGCUGUCGAGAAUUGCAACCACUGAAAGCCCAGAUGGUCCCUCAAUCAAUAGAUCAAAAAACUUCUCUCAGCCCCGUUCAAAUUCACUGAUAUCGAGCGGAGGUUGUCCCUCACUUAAUAGGCGAAUGAUUUCGUUACUUUUUUCACUGAUAUCAAAACCAUUGUCGCCGGGUGGAAGUUGUUGCGUCCGAUUUCUAAUAUCAAUGAGUUCACUGUGGAGUCCAUCAUGAAGAGCCAUAUUAGUGCUGCUUUCACUUUCGUUUUAACUGUUUUGCUGCUGCAUGAUGUUGAUGAAGAACGUGUCAAUGGCUUCCUCAGAUUCAUGGACAAAGUCAUUGAUGUCCUGAAGAAUUUCCAGAAUGUCUGAUCUUUCAUCGUCUUCUUCAUCACUUUCUUCUAAGUCCAACAGUUGCAAUAAAGGCAAAGACAUUUCGGAUUCAACGAAUUCUUGUCUGAUGAGUUGAGACAAAAUCCGAGCCAUGUCAGCUUCAUAGUUUCCCAACAGAGUAGUAGUAAUAAUUUCAGACUCCGUAAGAAGGUUUUGAAAAAACGGGGCUAAAUUUGUUGAAUCAGGCAACGUUAACGUGCCUUCUUCACCUGCUAACACCCUUCUCAACCUCUCACAAAACAGUCGGAGGUGGACGUCCAGCAUAUCUCCUUCUCUCUGUAGCACCCAGAGGUAUUGUUUUUUGCUCCAAGAAAUAUUAAAAGGAUUGGUUCUAUCUCAAAGUGGUUACUGGUGUAAAAUUAAACGCCAUGGGAGAAUUUGAAUGGAAGAUGCCAAGGAACUGGCGAAGUGGCUAAAUUCCACAAAUACGGCAUUAUUGCUCAUUUUUAACUCAAAAAAUUGAUACGCGUUCAUUUAGCGAAAAGUCCAAGACGCGUGCCUUUUGAAAAGAAGAGGUAUCCAAUAGAUAUCCAACCUUUAUCUUAUUUUAAUUACUACCACGACAUGAUUGAUGGUGGUUAAAUCAAUUGUUUCUUUUUUAAUUUAAAGAAAUUUUCAUUAAAAAAAUAUUUUAAUAUCAAAUUGCCUUCAAUAGCGUAACUGCCGCAGGCCCAGUAACAGGAUUAAUUAAAUUUUUUUGAAUUUUUGGGCAUGGAAAGAGUAGUAUUAGACUUCAGUAAGCUAAGGUUGUUAUGUUAAAGAAUUGAUAUUGACAUAAUUUUAUUUUAGCUUUCGGGGAAAAAAAUAUUUGUUGACAAGCAAGAAAAUAUUUUUGUAUUUUACAAUUUAUUAUACUUAGUUUAUCAUAUUAAAGUAAUUUUAAUAAUAAAUAGACACAUAAUAUUACAAUAAAUAAAGUAAAGUUUAAAUUAUUUUGAAUAUUAUAAAAAAUAAUUUUAAUAUUAUUAAUAGGAAGACAUUUUGUUAAUUUUAAAAUAUUUUUAACCUAAAGGUUUAUUUAAAAUCUUUAGAAAUCUCCAUCCCACAUCUACCCUAUUAAACAAGUUGAUGGAAAUUGAACAAUUGCUUUUUGAAGUGUACCCAUUGAGUUAUGUUCAUUACUGGUCAUUGUCUAUUCUUUCUAAGAGCCACUUGUUUUGAGCAUUAGCAAUCCUAUCUGGACUACUCCAAUUAUUGAUGUAACUCCAAUGGUUGCAUCAACAGUUGAAUGUAAGAUAGUGUUAGUUCUUUUUUGAGAAUUUCUUUAUUUGUUUCUCCGUUGCAGCGUAUUAGUAUAAAUUUCUUUACCUUACAGAUCCUACAGUCUUCCUGUUAAUGAAUUCGCUGAGGCAUUAUUGAUCCAAUCUCAGUGAAGUAAUUGUGGGUGAAAGAAAAAAUAAAGGAUAAGAGAACGUAGCUCAAGUGCGGCAAACCAUACAUGCAUGAACAAAAGCCAGCAAAUCCAAAUGAAAACUUAAACGGAAGAUCUUAUUCAAGUUUGUCCCCAAAAGACAGCUGAAAUGAAAAAUAUUGACUAUCGAGUGGAUCAAUGCUGAAUUACAUUUGACCUGGAAAGCUUGGCUGCCGUUGCGAUGUUCCCCCUCUGAUUUUCCCUAAAACAAAUUCAGUUGUAAACAAUAACUGGGGUAGCAACAAUUUAUUCAUUAUAGAAAAUACCUAAAUUUUCAACCACCAAAUCCUCGUGUCUAAACUAAAAAACUCAUAUCUCUAAAAUCUAUAUACAAAAUGUCAUAAAUGAGGGUGAUCUCUCAAUUCGGUAAAUAAAUUCAUGCAUAAUAUUACCAAUAAUGAUAAAUUACAUAAUAAUUAUUAUAAAGAAUCAUAAAUUGGAAACAUUAAUCAUUUUAAAAUGUAUUACAUAAUAAAGAUAAAUCUUAUAAUAAGUUACGUUAGAACAUAAUAAAUAUUUUCAAUAAUAUAUAUAAUUAUUUAAGAAGUCUUUUAGCAAUAAAAUAUAUAUUUUUUCUUUUUCAGUUGAUCAUGUCAUAGCGUUAUCUAAAAUGUUAGCGAUAUCAUUAUUCUUCACUUUUCUCAAAAAAAAAAAAAGAAAAAAAAAAGAAACAUGAUUAACGUUUGGAGAAAAGUCAUGCCUUUUAAAAAGAAUAUGUAUACAAUACCAAUCCAUACUUUAUCUGACCAUGACAAAAUUGUUUAAAAUAGAUUUAAUGCACAAAUAUGAUGACUUUUGGCAGAAAUUAGUUUCGGAAAUAUUGGGAUGAAAACCAUAUUGGUUGAGACUUAAAAUUACUUAACUACCAUUUAAUAGAUAAAAACCAUAUUAGUUGAAAGUUAAAUUAAGAUUUAAAUGUUGAGAUAUCUAACGUUACUUAAUCAGAAUAAACAAUAAUCAAUUCAAAUUAUGACUAUCAUGUAGAAGCAAAUGUUUAUGCUUGGGUCUUUUACUUCUUGAAUUUGAUUGGAAAAAUUUCUGAGACAGAGAAGUGAGUGUUUUGGAUAAUAUUUUUCGGGAUUGAAACCACAAAUUGGUCGAGGAAAAUAAUUUUGGACAAAUUUUUAUUAUAUUGUAGCACCUUUUUGGUUCCUUUUGUGUCGGCAGCCCCUCACUAUUCUCUUAACCCUGAGUUUUGAGAUAGAAAUUUCCCGAACUCCAACCCCACAUCCACAGACAAGUUGAUUGAAACAAUUGCUCUUGUAAUUAAGAGGAUGAGAUAGGGUUCAGUUCUUAUCAUUGUCUGUUAUUUCUUUGAAUCAUUAUCUUAAUUAAUUACAUCAAUUGUUUCUUUUUUUAAUUUAAAGAAUUUUUCUUUAAAAAAAUAUUUUAAUAUCAAAAUGCGUUAAAUGGUAUUACUGCCGCAAUCCCAGUAACAGGAUUAAUUAAAAAAAUAUUCUUAGGAAGAUAUUUUGUUUAUUGUAAAAUCUUUUUAAUCCAAAGGUUUAUUUAAAAUCGUUAUAAUAAAUAAAAAUAUAAAAACAAAAUAAAUAUCAUAAUUUAAAAUUUUAAUAUUAUUUUAAAUAUUAAAAAUACUUUAAUGCUAUUAGUCUACUACACAGGUUAUAUUACUUAUAUUAUAUUUGUAUAAAUUAAAACUUUUAAAGUUAAAUCUUUAAUUACUAUAUUGAAAAGGUAUUAUGGUUAAAAAAAGUUUUGGCAUUUUUUUUUGAAAAUUUGAGGGUCUGCAUGACAAUUUGUCCAAAUCCUAGAGGUAUAGGUGUAUUUUUUUUUCGAUAAUUCAUUUUACUUUUGAGGGAAUCCGAUGAGAAAUAAGAUAAGAGAAACUUCAAUUUAAUGUUCUCUAGGGAAAACCAAGAACUAUUCAACUUUGUAUUUUUUGUUUGUAAAACAAAAAACAGUUUGCCAAAAAAGGUACCAAACAUAUCCUUAAUGUCUCACAUGAUUUCUUAUUAAGUCCAUACUCGAUAUAUUUAUACAUUUUAGGUAUUUUAGUUAUAAAAGAAGUUGGUCCUCCCUCUGUUUAUAAAAGGUAACUUUAUUUCGAGAUUACCACUAAAGUCUUACAAAGAAUUAGUGUAAUGUUAAGAGAGACUAACACAGUUUUCCAUUACCAUUUUGAAAAUAGAAAGAUAUGGAUGUGUGCAUUUAAUGGUGAGUUUACUUGCCGGAUUGGGGAAUCAGAAUCUGGAAUCGGAAUGAUUGAUGGUGUUUACUUCGCAAAUAUGGAGCAGGAAUCAGAAUUGGAAUGGUGGAGCCCACCACUAUUUGGGAAUGGGAGAUUGAUUCCCAUGGGGGAAGGUGGGAAUGAGUCUCCCAUUCCCUGGAUUAACCAUUUUGCCCUCCCUCAAAAUUAAAAAUGCCUACUUUGUCCUCUUUUAUAAUUAAUUAAUAUAAUAUUAUAAUUAAUUAAUUAAUAUAUAAAUAUUUUAUUAACUAUAAUUAUUAAAAAUUAUAGUUCUUGAAUAAAUAAUCACAAUAAUUAAUUUAUUAUUAUUAUUGUUAAUGAAUUAAUAUAAUUAUUACUAUUAAUUAAUAUAUUAAUAUAUUAUUAACAAUAAUAUAUUAAUAAUUAUUUUUCGUGAAUAAAUAAUCACAAUAAUUAAUAUAUUAUUAUUGUAAUUAAUUAAUUAAUAUACUAUUAUAAUAAUUAAUUCAUAUAUUAUUAUUAAUUAAUUAAUAAAAUUAAAAUUAUUAAUUAAAUAAAUAAUAUAAUUAUUACUACUAAUUAAUAUAUUAUUAAAAAUAAUUAUUAAUAAUUAUAAUUUUUGAAUAAAUAAUCACAAUAAUUAAUAUAUUAUUUUAAUUAAGUAAUUAAUAUUAAUAUUAUUAGUUAAUAUAUUUUUAUAAUAAUUUUUGAUAUAGUUAUUAUAAUUAAUUAAAUUUUUUUACAAUUAAUUAAUAUAUUAGUUAAUAAUAAUUAUGACAAUAAUCCAUUAAGUACUUUUUAGUAAUUUGUUACAAUCUAAUUCAUUCUGAUUCCGAUUUCAAGACAAAGUAAACACAUUAAUGGCAAUCUAGCUCAUUUCGAUUUUGAUUCUUACAGUUCAAGUAAACAACUUAUUUUGAUUCCCAUUACCUAUUCCCAUUCCAGCCCAUUCUCAUUUCUGCCCAUUUCAAUUCCAGCUCAUUCCGAUUCCAGUUUAGUAAACGCAGCAUAAGAGUUAUCAUGAAAAUCAUACAAUUUAAUUUCCUGAAAUAUAUAUUUUAUUCACAUGUGCCAAAAGAAUAAAUAGAUAGAAAGUAAAUUUACAAUCCUCACUCCCUCAUAAUUGUUAAAGUGAAUAUGCAUUACAACUGUGAACUGUCACUACUUUAGCCCCUUUUUUUUUUUUUUCAAUUAUAGUGUGAUGGAGACAGUGAACAUUAAGGAUAAAGUGCUCUGCUGAAAGCCAAACUUCCUUUGGCUAAUUAAUUUAGAAGUAAAGCAGAGAAUAAAGUCCUUGAUGCCUUCUGAAAUUAGAAAUACAUUUUAUAUGCUUUAAUUAUGAUUAUUUGGUAGACUAUUGACCAAAAGACAUGUUAAAGUAUAAAACAGAGCGAUCAAAGAAAAAAAAAAAAGGAGCGUUUGUGACGUAGAAUAACAAUUUGUAAGUAAAGUCCUAAUUUGAGUUGUCAAAAAGCAAAUAUAACAGAGAAGGUAAGAGAGAUGCAAAAAGGGGAAAUUUACAGUAAUAACCAUUAAAGUUUUGAUUUUUUUCAUCUUAACCCCUUAAAAAUAUUUCUAUCAACAUUAGCCAUAAAACAACUUUUGAGACCAAAAUACCUCUCCUUCAUCUCUCCCCCAAAAAACUUGUUCUGUGGCCAAAAAGCUUGAUUUUUUUUUUAAAAAAAAAAUCUAAUCUUUUGCGGCUUGUUGCAUGAUUUUAAGAUGAAAAAUUUGUCAAGUUGUAUUCUAUCAGCAUUAUUAUUAUUAAUGCUUUCACCUGCAAAUUCAUUGAUAUUCAUUCCCCCUUCCAUAAUCUUCGUGCCCAAAUUGCUUCUAACUUUUCUCGACUUCGACGCGGGUGAGAGAUUGCUUUUCCUUUCACCUUUUUGUUUUCUUCCGUUUAGCUUCAUUAUUUUAAAAAAAAAAAAACCGAAACAGAACAGAAACAAAAGCUUCAGCCCGCGGCCACCGUCCAAGGCUGCCGGCUCUCGUUUUCCGUCACCGAUCCGGACGCAACCACCACUAAACGGAUCAUAAAUCGCCGGCCAUCAAACUCCAAGCAUCGGACACCGUUGAUUAGCCACAGAUCGCCGGAAAAGCAACCAAAACAGCCGCGCCAACCGUGCCGUCAUUCACCGGUUUCCGCCGCGAUUUAGCCAGCACCACCGUAAUCAAUCCACUCCUCUCCACGAGCUCAACCUCUUUCGUUAUUCCCCACCUCCGAUCGACCAACCCAUCGCCGGAAUCUAAGCAUCACCAAACAGUUACAACUUAUCUCAAAUUUCCGGCCAAAACGCCACCGUUUCCGACGAAUCACAAACAUCAUCAUGAACAACUUCAAGUUUUGGUGCGACAGGGUGCUUGUCGCACCAAAACUUGGUGCGACGGGUGCCUGUCGCACCAAGGCUUGGUGCGACGGGUGCCUGUCGCACCAAGGCUUGGUGCGACGGGCACCCUGUCAUCAGAUUCAUCCUCCGACUCAGAUCAAUAAGUUUGAAAAUAACUCAUGCCACGAUGCCGAUUAGUUUUGGUCUGUAAAGAAGGGUAAUUUAGGGAGAAAGGCUUGUGUUUGGCUAAUGUUGAUAGAAAAAAAUUCAGAGGAUUAGUUGCAAAAAUAACAAAAUAUUUAUGGUUAUUUUCGUAAAUUUCCCCAAAAAGAGAACUAUUAGCUUAUCUUGAUUUCCCCACUAUAUUCAUUUUCGAUGCUUUUCAAACGAGAUUCUUUUAAUCCUUCUGGCGUCUGCAGCCCCUGCUCUUCUUAUAAAUCUCCAUCCCACAUCUGCACUACGAACAAAUUGACUAAAAUUAAAUAAUGUUGGAGACGAGGGAUGAGCUGUCAACUUAUUAAAAAAAACUCAUGUAUAAUAUUAUCAAUAAUAUAAAAUAUAUAAUAAUUAUUAUAAAGAAUCAUAAAUUAGAAAAAUUAAUUAUUUUACAAUCUAUUUCUUAAGUAAGAUAAAUCUCGUAAUAAGUUAAGUUUAAUGUAAAAAAAUAUUUUCAAUUUAUAAUCAUUUAAGAAGUCAUUUAACAAUAAAAUCUUUCUUUUGAUCAGGUGGCCAUGCCAUAGAGUAUCAUCUAUAUUCGUGGUGAUAUUAUUAUUACUCAAUAUCCUCAAAAGACACGAUUUAACAUUUAGAGAAAAUUCCUGCCUUUUAAAAAGAACAUGUAUGCAAUAGCUAGCCACACUUUAUUUUACCACGACAAAAUUGAUAGUGAUUAAAUCAAUUUUCUCAAUUAAAGAAAUUUUUUUAAAUUGAUUUAAUGCACAAAUAUGAUGAGUUUUUGCAAAAAUUAGUUUUGGAAAAUAUAGUGAGAGAGAAUGGUGACGAUUAUUUUUCAGAUGUGCAAAUAGCCUAAACAUAAUCUCUAAUACCAAUAUCCUUGUGCAUCUUAACACCUUUCAUGAUAUUCUUUCAUUCAUGGCCAUUUGUUCAAUAUUUGAAUUUGAUUAUUAAAUUAUGUUCAAUAAUGUUAGAGACCCCAAUAAUUGGGUACCAACUUAAAUCCCAAUGCUAUGUGUCAUUAACAAAUGUUGUGUCAUUUAUCAUUAUUGAAUGAAUAAUUCGUUAAUUUAUUGAUAAAUGAAAAUUUAUUAAUUUAAAGAGAGAUUGUUUUUUUUUGGUUUUAAGAAGAGUUUUGUUGGUACAUGUACAUACUUAUAAAGAAAUAAACUUGUAAUUAUACUAUAUCUUUCUUUCUUUGUUCAGUUUGGUGGGAUAUUGUGAUAAAUCAUUGGAUUAAAAUGCAUUUCUAAAUUGAAACUUGUUAAAAUCUAAUUUAUUUAGGAAACACAUAUUAUUUGUCAGUCGUACUUCUCAAAUAAGAUUAAAACUCACCCAAUUCAAUCCAUCAGAUUCCGUAAGGAUAUAACUGGAUGUCAUACCGCCACUCCAUAUCCUCGAAAGUCCGUAGUCCUUGUCUCAACUGUGUCUGGGGCCAGUGUAAGUCCAAUUUGCGCAAGCUCUUUAUGCACCACAGCUCUUCUGGAAGCUUUCUGAAGUAAGCACAUGGGUUGACAAUUAAGCUUUCAAGUUUCGGCAUUGCUCCAGCCCCCAUCGUCCACUCAUCUAGCCAAUUUACUCAUGAAUUGUUGUUCAUAUUAGCAAUUUGAUUGAAAGUGUGGCUGCACUAAUUUUCUAGAUGAAUUUUUUCCUACAUGCUUGUUCCCGUGUGACCCAAAAUCCUGCUACAUCAGUUGUAUUAGAAAUUAAUCAACUGGGUUACAAUUAUGCAUCCCCACCAAUAUUUAAGCAAUUUAAUUACAGAAACAUUUCUUGAGGAAAAAAACUCAUAUCGCCACUAGGCUUUUAAUGAGGCUCAUUUUUAUGAAUUUGGAUGGCAUUAGAUAUCUCUCCGAAUAUUGGUGGGAGUAGAUCGCAGAUCUCUGGGCUAUACUACAAAGUGUAUGUACGUUGACUCUCAAUAAAUACAAACGAUUCUCUGAUAUGAUUCAAAACAUCAGUGCAUGCAUCAUUUUAAUGAGAAAGAAUAUUCUAAGAACGAAAUUGAACGUGCAAUCAGCAAUUAAAAUGAAGCCAGAAAUGUACAUGCAUGAGGAAUUUUUCUUAGAAGAUUGAUAUUUCUUUGACUAGCAAACCAUACAAGUCCAAAGCUAGCAAACCAUACCUGCAAGUCGGGGGUUUAAAUGGAGUACUUCUAAGCAUAAAACAUUGAUUAAAACAGAAUACACACAUACAUACCAGCAAAUUCAAAAUAGCAAAAGGAGUGCAAAAGUUCAAGUUUGUAGACAACAUUGCAACCAUGGCAUGUUUAUAGCAAAUCCUCGAAAUCUGCUAAAUAAAACAAUGCCCUGUCUCAUGAAUCAAUGCUGAAUUAAAAUUGAAACUGAAAGUCUGGCUGGCGUUGUUUCCCUCUCCAAUUUUGCCUACAUAAGUGAAAAUAAGAAUAAUAAAUGAAAAUCUGCUUUUACGGUUCUUCUUUGAUAGAUAAAAGGGGGAUCUUUCUUUGUUUCUCUGCUGCAAUGUGUGCCUAUCCCACUCUGUUUUGCCACCCAAGCUGAGUCUAUGUUGAGACAUAAUUUUGACAUCCGAAGCAAUCUCAAUUAGUUUGGCAAUUUUAUGACCUCCUUGAAGGUUUUAUGAUAAACAUAAAUCUACUGAGAAAGUGGGAAAAAAAGAAAAUGCAUAUAAAAAUAUGAGUUAUCAGAUAAGAUUAAAACUCACCCAAUUCAAUCCAUCAGAUUCCAUAAGGAUAUAACUGGAUGUCAUACCGCCACUCCAUAUCCUUGAAAGUCCGUAGCCUCUGUCUCAACUCUGUCUGAGGCCAAUGUAAAUCCAAUUUUCGCAAGCUCUGUAUGCACCACAGCUCUUCUGGAAGCUUUCUCAAGUAAGCACAUGGGUUGACAAUUAAGCUUUCAAGUUUCGGCAUUGCUCCUGCCCCCAUCGUCCACUCAUCUAGCCAAUACAUUGAUUUCAGGUGCAAAACCUUAAGUUCGGGAAAGCUACUCAAGCCAACACAAGCAAGCUUUCUUCCUAAAUACGAGUUCUGCUUCAGUUUCAGCACUCGAAGGAGUGGAAGAUUUUCCAGAAUUGGCGUGGGAUCCUCCAUUAGCUCAGUAUUUGAUAAGGUCAGUUGGCUCAGACUUGGGGGAAAUUGGUAUUCGGACAGGACCAUCCGUGAGGGCUUGCUCUCAUUCACCAGCUUCAAGCAUUCAAGUUUGUGGAGUUCGCAAAGGCUUUUGGAAACCCCAGAUUGAUAGUAACUCAUAUCUCCAGAUAUCCGAAGAGUCCGAACACUUGGUAGUCUGCCCAAUAUAUCAGGAGUACAACUACUAGGGUUUAAAGCUGAUAUGAAAAUGAGAUUUUUCAGAGAGCUAGAAUAAUUUUUUGGAGGUGCGGGCAGAGUGAUAGAACCAAAGUUUAGAUGCAUGAGUUUUUGCAUCAUCCAAAUAUCAUCUGGUGACUGAUCUAUGUAGCUAGAUGGCAUUUCUAGUGUUUCAAGGUUUAAAAGGGUGCAUAGCAGUGAAGGAAGGCAUUUGAGCGAAGGGAUAUUCAAUUUCAAAUACUUCAAAAGAUAUAAAUUUUCUAAUCCGGGUGGAUAUUGGUCCAGGACUGCAGAACCCAUGUUCAAUACCCGAAGGUGUUUGAACUUUUUACAAAAAUUCUCGCAAUCUAUCAGAGCGAGACGAUCGCUUUCUGAACUGUUAUUCAGAAAAGAUUGGAGACGCGUGUCAGAAUAUUCUAAAGAUAAAAACUGAAUCAGAUCUUCCCAAAUGAAGCACCGUUUAACAUUUGCCAGUGGUUCCCUUUUCCUUUCACGCAUCCAGACAAAUCCCGUAAUCUCUGCCACCAAAGCCAAUGAAGUAUAUACAAUACUUGGAACAUAACACGCUUUGAUUAUGCCUCCGGCUCUUCUCUUACUCACUUGAAUGAUGCCGCGAUGGAUUAGUUCUUUCAAGUAAUGUUCGGCAGUUUCUUCACCGUGGUAUGGUAUGAAACCUUCAGCUACCCACAACUGAUAUAAUUGCCUCGUAGAUAUCUCAAUACUUGGACAGAAGACAUACAAAUAGAUGCAGCAGACUUUCAAGUGAAAAGGUAACUCCAUCACAGAAAAAAUUUGUCUCCAAAUUGUCGGAAUCGCUUCGCCUCGAAAAUAAUUUUCUAAUGGCAUACUUCCAUAGUGUAGGAUGAAAAAUUGCCAGGCUUCAUGCUUUAAUCUGAUCAAUGGUCCUCCAGUGAGCACCGAAUCAAGCCGAAUCUUCUCUCCGUUUUCCAUUUCCAACGACGCAAGGAGGUUUGGAUCAGUGACCAAUAUCAAGACUCUGCUUCCAUUCUGAUUAUCAGGAAGAACUUCUUCAAGAUCAUCCCAUAUCUCACUGUGAUCAAAGACAUCAUCAAGCACAAUAAAGUACUUCUUGUUUGUUAGGAAAUCUCGAAGAACAGAUUUCUUCAAUUGAUAAUGUUCACCGAUAAUUACACUAACCCGAGAUGGAGGCAUCACAGACUUGAUUAUGUCAUCCAAUAUCUUGCCAAAAUCGUAGAGUAUAGAAACCCUGACCCAAGCAAGACAGUCAAAAUAGAACUUGACAUGAUUAUUGUUGUAAGUAUCAGCAGCAAAAGCAGUCUUGUCGAAGCCACUGCUGUCGAGAAUUGCAACCACUGCCAGCCCAGAUGGUCCCUCAAUCAAUAGAUCAAACAACUCCUCUCUGCCCCGUUCAAAUUCACUGAUAUCAAGCCGACGAUGUCCCUCACUCAAUAGGCGAAUGAUUUCGUUACUUUUUUCACGGAUAUCAAAACCAUUGUCGCCGGGUGGAAGUUGUUGCGUCCGAUUUCUAAUAUCAAUGAUUUUAGUGUGGAGUCCAACAAGAAGAGCCAUAUCAGUACUGCUUUCACUUUCGUUUUCACUGUUUUGCUGCUGCAUGAUGUUGAUGAAGAAUGUGUCAAUUGCAUCCUCAGAUUCAUGGACAAAGACAUUGAUGUCCUCCAGAAUUUCCAAAAUAUCUGCUCUUUCAACAUCUUCUUCAUCGCUUUCUUCUAAGUCCAACAGUUGCAAAAAAGGCAAAGAUAUUUUGGAGUCAUCGAAUUUUUCUCUAAUGAGUUGAAACAAAUGCCGAGCCAUGUCAGCUUCAUAUUUUCCCAGCAGAGUAGUAGCAAUAAUUUCGGACUCCGUAAGAAGGUUUUUAAAAAGUGGAGUUAAUUUUGUUGAAUCUGGCAGCGGCAACGUGCCUUCUUCACCUGCUAACACCCUUUUCAACCUCUCACAAAACAGUCGGAGGUGGAAUUCCAGCAUUUCUCCUUCUCUCCGUAGCACUCAGAGGUAUAGCUGAAAGAUUAAACACCAUGGAAGAAUUUGAAAGGAAAAUGCCAAGAAAUUGUGUAAGUGGCUAAAUUCCACAAAUAUGACAUUAUUGCUCAUUUUUUAACUCAAAAAAAGGGUACGCGUUCAUUUAGAGAAAAGUCCAAGACGCGUGCCUUUUGAAAAGAACAGGUAUCCCAAUCGGUAUCCAACCUUUAUCUUAUUUAAUUACUACCAUAACAUAAUUGAUGGUGCUUAAAUCAAUUGUUUCUUUUUUAAUUUAAAGAAUUUUUCAUUAAAAAAAUAUUUUAAUAUCAAAUACCCUUCAAUGGCAUAACUGCCGCAAGCCCAAAAACAGGAUUAAAUAAUUUUUUUUUUUGAAUUUUUGGUCAUGGAAAGAGCAGUAUUAAACAUCAGAAAGCUAAGGUCGUUAUGUUAAAGAAUUGAUAUUGACAUAAUUUUUUUUGGUUUUCGGGGAAAAAAAAAUUGUUGACAAGCAAGAAAAUAUUUUUAUAUUUUACAAUUUAUUAUACAUAUUUUAUCUUAUUAAAGUAAUUUAAUAAUAAAUAGAAACAUAAUAUUACGAUAAAAAAAUUAAAGUUUAACUUAUUUUGAAUAUUAUAAAAAAUAAUUUUAAUAUUAUUAAUAUGGGGACAUUGUAUUAAUUUUAAAAUUUUUUAACCCAAAGGUUUAUUUAAAAUGUUUAUUAUAAAUACAAAUAUAAAAUUAAAUAUCAUAAUUUAAAAUUUUUAAUAUUAUUUUAAGUAUUAAAAAUAUUUUAAUGUUAUUAGUCUACUACAUAGAUCAUAUUACUUAUAUAAUAUUUGUAUUAUUAAAAAUUCUUAAAAUCAAAUUUUUAGUUAGUAUAUUCAUGAGGUAUUAUGGUUAAAAAAAAAAAGACCUUAUUGUUACUUUUUAAAAAAUUGAGGGCCUUCGUGAUAAUUUUUUCAAAAAGAAAAUACUUGGUAUCUGGGAGGGAUAGAGAAAUAGGACUCCCAAAAUCUCUCACCCUUUUUUAAUUAAAAAAAUUAAAAUAUCAAUAAAAAAUAAUAAAGAAAAUAGAAUUUUAUCUACUCCUUACUUCAUUUUUGCAACUCUCUCACCAUCUCUGUCGAGCAGCCCUCUCUCUCACUCUCUCACUCACACAGUCUUUUUCACGAUUUGAAAUUCUUUGGCCCUUUGCAUUACAAGAAAUUAACGCUUUGGUUCUCCCAAGGGUAGAUUGGUUUUAUUGGGAAGCUAUUAAUUAGAAGGAGGAAAAAGGACUAUAUUUAGAAUAUGAUUUGUUGGAGAAUCUCAGAGUUAGUCAAUUUUCAAGCCACACUUUCAAUAGCCAACUGAUUUAGAAACCAUUAAUUACUUUAAUUUCCAUAAAUUGUAAUGACAGUGCAAAUGCAUCUGGUUGUGAUAGCUAAGGGUUAGCUUGAAGAAUUAAAUUUCAUAAGAUAUUACUGGAAAACGCUUUGCAGAUAACGUGUUGCUUCCUUUGCUAGGCUACAAUUUCAAAAUUCUCACGAGUUUUCCAUUGUUGUCACAAACCGAGAAAUUAUAAAAUACAUGGCCUGGUUCUUUGGCAAUGACCAUCUCAUCGUCGGCGGUCGCGUCGUCAUUGUCACUGGUCUUGCUGGACCGAGACAGUGAGAGAGAGGUUUGUUAGAUGGAGUUAGUGAGAGAGAGUUGUAAAGAUGGAAUGAUGAUAAAGGAUUUUAUUUUUUUUUAAUUGUUUUUAUUAAUAUUUUAAUUUUUAAAAUUAAAAUUUGCUGCCGUUUCUCUCGACUCUCAUAAUUUAUUUCAUUUUUAGGGAAUCCAAUGAGAAAUAUGAUAAAAGAACGUCAAUUACUUGUCAUUUUCAAUUUUUUUCUAUAAGCUAUUUAUUUCGAGCAUUAGUGAUCUUGUCUGGCUACUCCAAUUAUUGACGUAACUCCAGUGGCUGCAUCCACUGGAAAAAGUGGAUGAGAACCAUUUUUUUUUCAUAAAGGUAACUGCUCCAAUUAUUGACAUAAUUGAUGGUGCUUAAAUCAAUUUUUUUUUUUAAUUUAAAGAAUUUUGCUUUAAAAAAUAAUUAAUAUCAAAAUGCCUUCAAUGUUGUUACCGCCACAAGCCCAGUUAGAGGACUCAUUAAAAAUUUUAGAAUUUUUAGGCCUGGAAAGCGUAGUAUUAAACAUCAGAAAGCAAAGGUUGUUAUGUCGAAGAAUUGAUGUCGACAAAAUUUUAUUUUAGUUUUCGGAAAAAAAAAUAUUUUGUUGACAAGCAAGAAAAUAUUUUUUAUACUUUACAAUCUGCUAUACAUAUUUUAUCAUAUUAAAGUAAUUUUAAUAAUAUAUGGAAACAUAAUAUUAUAAUAAAUAAAUUAAAAUUAAAAUUACUUUGAAUUAUUGAAUAUUACAAAAAGAUAAUUUUAAUAUUAUUAAUAGGAAAACAUUUUUUAAUUGUAAAAUCUUUUUAAUACAAAAAAUCAUUUAAAAUCUUUAUAAUAAAUACAAAUAUAAAAUUAAAAAAUAUCAUAAUUUAAAUUUUUUAAUAUUAUUUAAAUAUUAAAAAUACUUUAAUAUUAUUAGUCUACUACAUAAAAUAUAUUAUUUAUAUUAUAUUCGUAUUGAUUAAAACGUUUUAAAGUCAAAUUUUUAAUUAGUGUAUUCAAAGGUAUAAAAGAUUUUAGUAUUAUUUUUUAAAAAAUUUCAGGAUAUGAAUGAUAAUUUUUUUCAAAUUUUAAAGAUGUAAGAAUCUUUUUUUCUGAUAACUUAUUUCACUUUUGAGAGAAUCCGAAAACGUUAAUUUAACAUUCUUUACCUUUAUCUUUUCAAAAAAAAAAAAAACAUUCUUUUUUUGAUAAGAAUGUUUUUUUUUUCUUUAAAAAAUAAUUAAUAUCAAAAUGCCUUCAAUGUUGUUACCGCCACAAGCCCAGUUAGAGGACUCAUUAAAAAUUUUAGAAUUUUUAGGCCUGGAAAGCGUAGUAUUAAACAUCAGAAAGCAAAGGUUGUUAUGUCGAAGAAUUGAUGUCGACAAAAUUUUAUUUUAGUUUUCGGAAAAAAAAAUAUUUUUUUACCUUUGUGAAAAAAGUGAAAAUCAAGAACUAUUCAAUUUUGUUUUUAUUUGUAAUUCAAAAACUUUAUUCAUUUUUGGAUGCUUUUCAAAAGAGAUUCCUUUAAAUCCUUUUGGUGUCUGCAGCUCCUGCCAUUCUCAUAAAUCUCCAUCCCACAUCUACACUAUCAAACAAGUUGAUGGAAAGUCUUAUAAAAAAAAAAAAGUUGAUGGAAAUUGAUCAAUUGCUUUUUGAAGUGGACCCAUUGAGUCAUGUUCAUUUCUGAUCAUUGUCUACUCUUUCUAUCAGCCAUUUAUUUUGACCAUUUGCGAUCUUAUCUGGACCUACUCCAAUUAUUGUUGGAACUCCAAUGGUUGUAUCUACAGUCGAAUGUAAUAUAGUGACAGCUCUUUCUUUGAGAAACUAGAGGGACCUUACAGUUCAUAUAAAUUUCGCUACCUUACAGUUCAUACGGUCUUGCUGUUAAUGAAUUUGCUGAGGCAUUAUUGAUCCAAUCUGAGUGAAGUAAUUGUGGCUGAAAAAUAAAUAAAGGAUAAGAGAACGUAGCUGAAGUGCUGAAGGGGCUAUUAAAGAAGAGUGUCACUUGAUCACAAUCACAUUGAUGCACAAUUCACUUGGCAAAUUUCGACUAUGCGUACUGCAAAUUCAGCCAAACCAUACAUGCAUGAACAAAACUAAAAUGUAGUUCUAAUCACAACUGCAGUUAUGAUGUUUACCCCUCUGAUUUUUCUCCAAAACAAAUUCAGUUCAAAACAAUAAUCAAAAUAGCCACAUUUUGUUCGUCAAAAUAAAUGCCCAAAUUUUCAAUUAACAAAUCAUCUUCUCUAAACUAAAAAGCCCACAUCUCUAAAAUCAAUCUACAUAAUGUUGGACAUGAGGGGUGAAUUGUUAACUCAGUAAAAAAACUCAUGCAUAAUAUUACUAAUAAUAAAAAAUAUAUAUUAAUCAUUAUAAAGAAUCAUAAAUUAGAAAAAUUAAUCAUUUUAUAAUUUAUUACACAAGUAAGAUAAAUCUCAUAAUAAGUUAUAACAUAAAAAAAACGUUAUCAAUAUAUAAUCAUUUAAGAAGUCAUUUAACAAUAAAAUCGUUCUUUGAUCAGUUGGUCAUGUCACAUAAUAUCAUCUAUAUUUAUGGUGAUAAUAUUAUUACUCAGUAUUCUCAAAAAACAUGAUUUAACAUUUAGAGGAAAUUCUUGCCUUUUAAAAAAAACAUGUAUGCAACAGCUACCCAUGCUUUAUCUUGCCAUGACAAAUAUUUUCUCAAUGAAAGAAAUUUUUUUAAAAAUUGAUUUAAUGCACAAAUAUGAUGAUUUUUCCAAAAAUUAAUUUUGGAAAAUAUAGUGAGAGAAAAUAGUGACGAUUAUUGUUUAGAUGUAUAAAUAGCCUAAACAUAAUCCUUAAUACCAAUAUCCAUAUGCAUCUUAUCAUCUUUCAUGAUGUUCUUUCAUUUAUGUCCAUUGGUUCAAGAUUUGAAUUUGAUCAUUAAAUCAUGUUCAAUAAUAUUAGAGAUUCCAACAAUUGAGUACCAACUUAAAUCCCAAUGUUAUGUGUCAUUGACCAAUUAUGUGUCAGUGACCAAUUUUGUGUCAUUUUGUUAUUAACUAGGUGAUGAAUUUCUAGUUGAUAAAAUCACUUAAAAAUAUCUUAAAAAUUAGACAAUAGUUUGCUUAAUUUUUCCAAGUUAACUGCUCAAGAUGCUCUAUUAUAAAUGAUAACCUAAUUAUAUUCAUAAAAAAUGAUAUAUUUUUUUGUGGUGUUGAUAAUGAGAUUAUCAUUCAACGUUUUAAAAUGUGAAAACAUAUGGAAGACGGUUGUAAAUUGAUUGAAUGAAAAUAUUUCAGUGAAGUCUCAAAAAUUUGGUACUUGUUGUCUUAUCGAAAGUUUUCUAAAUUAUAUUCGUGGCACAGCCACUAUCCAAACCAUACAAGUCCAAAGCUAUCCAAACCAUACCUGCAAGUCCGGGGCUUAAAUGGAGUACUUCUAAGCAAAAAAACAUUGAUUAAAAUAGAAUAUAUACAUACAGACACACAUACAUACCAGCAUAUUCAAAAUAGCAAAAGGAGUGCAAAAGUUCAAGUUUGUAGACAACAUUGCAACCAUAGCAUGUUUAUAGCAAAUCCUCAAAAUCUGCUAAAUAAAACAAUGCCCUGUCUCAUGAAUCAAUGCUGAAUUAAAAUUGAAACUGAAAGUCUGGAUGGUGUUGUUUGUUGAGAAUGUCAAAUAAAACGGCAUUGAAGGAAGUUUUCAAAGGCAGAAUCCGCACUUGUCAAAGACACGAUCCGCACCGAACGGAUCGACACAUUUCCUUCCGUAUUCACAUAUGUAAUCUUUGAAAAAAUGUAGCUUCUGCAUCUAUAAAUAACGCUCAGUGUAUAAUGUUUUAUUCAAGAAAUAAAAACAAGUUUCUACAUGGUAUCAGAGUCAUGAAUGCGCUCAAGUUUCUUCAAGUUUCGCUGCUCUGUUUGUCACAAAAACAGAGGAAACCAAAUUCGUCCCACAACCAUUUUUUCCACCAUUUUCUUCCUUAAAAUCAUUCCUAACAUUACAGAAAUCCAUGCCGAUCAAAAAACAUGAAAGACAAAUUACACAUGUGCAGUAACCAAUGAUCAUAUUUCGUUACUGUCAAACACAAUGCAUCUGAGCAAAACAUUGGAAGCCAACACCAGAAUACAUAUGAAUAAACAAUUAAAGAUAGAGAAAAAAGGCUUAAACCUUGGGGGAAAAAAGUGAAAAAACAUGAAAGACAAAUUACACAUGUGCAGUAACCAUCGAACUUAUCAGUGACAGCUGCAUCCAUUACAUUGCUCCAACAACACAAUGGCAAACCACCAGUUUCAAAUUGAGGAUAGCUAUCGAGAAUGAGAAAGUGUCCAAAACAUCAUAAAUAGACAUGUUCCUAUUGUGCAUAAUUUACAUUAUAGGCAAAUAUUCUUAUACCAUCAAAGGCAAAACAUGACACUAACAAUUGAUCCCCCCCCCCCCCCCCCCCCCCAACAACCAAAAAAAAAGGAAAAACAAUACAGAAAAGAUUGAAACAGAUAAGGCUACACUGAGCACAGGAUGCCAUGAAACAUAAUCCAGGAACCAAAUUAAUAAAAAAGGAAGCCAAACCAUUAUUUAACAAUCUGUUUUGUAUUUGGGAAAGUCUGAUAAAAUCUACUUAGGGAUAAUUAGAGAACUUCAACUAUUAAUCACACCUCAUAAAUGAACUAACAUUAACCAUCUACCAUCCCCACGUCACACAAACAUUCUCUAUACUUCUGAACCUAAUACUUCCAUCUUCAAUUGGGGGUUUUUUUUCUUUUUUUUUUUGGGUGGGGGGGGGGGGGGGGGGGGGGAAGCUAUCAAUUUUCUAAGCUUGCUUAGCUUCUGUGUGGGAUUGAAAUGCUGAUUUCGAAUCACUAACAGUAAAAUUGGAAGCUCAUGAAAAAACAGUUUUAUCUCAAAAUUACAUCUCGAUAUAAAUUCUCUUUUCAUUUCCUUCAACUUUCUAAUUAAGCUUAAAAAAUGUACCUUCAACCACAAAGGGGUUUAAAAUUUAAAAUAUAAAAAAUAAAUUCAGAUAACAAUAAUUAAUUUAAUUAAAAAUAUAAAUAGAGUUACAGAGAAAGAGAAAAUAGAGAAAGACCUAAUGUUGAGUCCUUUGGCGCAUGUCUCUUCAUAGGUCCGAACCAUUUCUUCGGGCGUGGGUUACGGCCGAGAUUGGAUAAUGAUGGAGUAGGAUAAGAUUAGCGAUAACGACGCCGAUGAAAUGGAAGGGUUUACCAGAGGAGUGGAUGCGAAGAGUGCAGGGACCGCCGCAGAGAGAGAGCGGCGGAGAGCGGCGACGGACGGUAGUGACCAGCGGAGGCGGAAGAUGGCGGUAUGGGCCAUUGCUUGCGCGUCGGUGAGUGUCUCGAGUGAGAGAGUGAAGGGUUUUGGGAAAUGAAAAAUGCAAAUGUUUGAUUUUGUUGCUAGAAACUUCUUCUGCCGCUGCCUUUUAUUUUCGCUAUAAUAAUAAUAAUAAUUUGUUAAUCAAAUAUUUUCUUAAAAAAGAUAAAUUUCUACAAGAAAAUUUAUAUUAAAUCAAAUUGUAAAAAUGUCUAUUAGGGUUAAUUUCUCCUUAAUAUUAUUAUUAGUUGAAGUAGAUUUUCGAAUUAGUCUUGAUAUAUUUCAGAGUUGUAUUAUAAAUGUAUAAGUAUCUGGAUUGCAAUUAUAUUUUUAAAAAAUAUAAUUUUUUUAAUUAUUGCACAAUAAAUGUAGAUAGUAUCUAUAAAAUAAUAUUAUUAGGACUAUGAAAAAAAUAUUAUUUUAGAGAAGUUAUUUAUUUAUUAUUGAAUGAAUAAUUUAUUAACUUAUUGGUAAAUGAAUAUUUACUAAUUUAAAGAGAGAUUUUUUUUUUGAUUUUAAGAAGAGUUUUGUUGGUACAUAUUCAUACUUAUAAAGAAACACAAAAAGUAGUUCCUCAAGUCAAUUGUAUUUGCUUUAAUUCGUAAUAAUAUAUCUUAAUCAAGAAACUUGUAAUUAUACUAUAUCUUUCUUUCUUUGUUCAGUUUGGUGGUACAUUGUGAUAAAUCAUUGGAUUAAAAUGCAUUUCUAAAUGAAAACUUGUUAAAACCUAAUUUAUUUGGGAACCAUAUUUUAUUUGUCAGUCGUAUUUCUCAACUUAGCAAGUUAUUUCUAACUUAUCGGUCUCUAUUGGUUUUCUUAAGUGCCUGUUUGAUAUGACUUAUUUAAUGGCAAUAAGUGCUUAUUUAAUCUCAUAAGCUCUUAUCAUAAUUUUUGUUAUUGUUUGGUUGUUUUUCUAAUAAAGUUUUUGAAGCUUAAAUAAGUAAUUUUACCUCUCUUAACAAAAGCUCAAAUUUUGAGUUUUUUGGGAGUAGAGAUUGAAAAACUUUUUCAAAUGUCAAAAUAUCUAUAAUAUCCUCUACUUAUUUAACAAUCUUAUUUAUUAUUUUCAUAAUAUAACUUUAAAAGACUUGUCUAUUAAAGUAAUUUCAUAAAUUUUUAAUAAAAACUCUUAUUGACAACCAAACAACUAAUUUUUUUUAGCAAAACCUCUACUUAAAUAAGUUCUACUUGAAAAACUGUAUCAAACGGAGCUUAAAGUUAAUAGUCUCUUAUCUCCCACAUUUGAUAUCUUAAUGGUAUCAGCGUGUUACCUAAGAUUGGGAUUCAUUAAAAUCCUCAAUGUAAUCGGUGGAAUGAAAUGGAUUUUUAUAACCUCCUUGAAGGUUUUACGAUAAACAUAAAUCUAUUGACAAAGUGGGCAAAAAGAAAAUGCAUAUAAAAAUAUGAGUUAUCAGAUAAGAUUAAAACUCACCCAAUUCAAUCCAUCAGAUUCCGUAAGGAUAUAACUGGAUGUCAUACCGCCACUCCAUAUCCUCGAAAGUCCGUAGUCCUUGUCUCAACUGUGUCUGGGGCCAGUGUAAGUCCAAUUUGCGCAAGCUCUUUAUGCACCACAGCUCUUCUGGAAGCUUUCUCAAGUAAGCACAUGGGUUGACAAUUAAGCUUUCAAGUUUCGGCAUUGCUCCAGCCCCCAUCGUCCACUCAUCUAGCCAAUACAUUGAUUUCAAGUGCAAAACCUUAAGUUCGGAAAAGCUACUCAAGCCAACACAAGCAAGCUUUCUUCCUAAAUACGAGUUCUGCUUCAGUUUCAGCACUCGAAGGCAUGGAAGAUUUUCCAGAAUUGGCAUGGGAUCCUCCAUUAGCUCAGUAUUUGAUAAGCUCAGUUGGAUCAGACUUGGGGGAAAUUGGUAUUCAGACAGGACAAUCCGUGAGGGCUUGCUCUCAUUCACCAGCUUCAAGCAUUCAAGUUUGUGGAGUUCGCAAAGGCUUUUGGAAACCCCAGAUUGAUAGCAACUCAAAUCUCCAGAUAUCCGAAGAGUCUGAACACUAGGUAGUCUGCCCAAUAUAUCAGGAGUACAACUACUAGGGUUUAAAGCUGAUAUGAAAAUGAGAUUUUUCAGAGAGCUAGAAUAAUUUUUUGGAGGUGCGGGCAGAGUGAUAGAACCAAAGUUUAGAUGCAUGAGUUUUUGCAUCAUCCAAAUAUCCUCUGGUGACUGAUCUAUGUAGCUAGAUGGCAUUUCUAGUGUUUCAAGGUUUAAAAGGGUGCAUAGCAGUGAAGGAAGGCAUUUGAGCGAAGGGAUAUUCAAUUUCAAAUACUUCAAAAGGAAUGAAUUUUCUAAUCCGGGUGGAUAUUGGUCCAGGACUGCAGAACCCAUGCUCAAUACCCGAAGGUAUUUGAACCAUUUAAAAAAAUUCUCGCAAUCUUUCGGAUUAAGAUGAUCGCUUUCUGAACUGUGAUUCAGAAAAG